rnacentral:rRNA from 1 species
CGAACGGGUGAGUAACACGUGGGCAACCUUUCCUAUCGCGGGGGAUAACACCGGGAAACCGAUGCUAAUACCGCAUGUCGUCACCGGUCGCAUGGCCGGUGAAGAAAGCAGCAAUGCACGAUGGGGUGGGCCCGCGGCCUAUCAGCUAGUCGGUGGGGUAACGGCCUACCGAGGCGAUGACGGGUAGCUGGUCUGAGAGGACGGCCAGCCACACGGGGACUGAGACACGGCCCCG